ACCUGAACCAGAGCCCCGAGCUGCACGUCCAGGCCCAGUUCGGGACUCUGGCGGAUUACUUCGAGGCGCUGCAUCGACACCUGGACUCAUCUAAGGAGCGUCUGCCCGCGGUGGGCGGAGACUUCUUCACCUACGCCGACAGAGAUGAUCAUUACUGGAGCGGCUACUACACCUCCAGACCCUUCUACAAAAGACUGGACCGCACCCUGGAGGCCACGCUCAGAGGAGCUGAGAUCCUGUUCUCAUUGGCUCUGGCGGAGUCGAGGCGUCUCUAUGGUAACUUGUUUCCGGGGGAAGAGCUCUUUGGUCACCUGACCUCAGGGAGGAGGAGCUUAGGCCUUUUCCAACAUCAUGACGCCGUGACGGGGACGGCCCGCGACGCCGUGGUA